GAUGAACGCUGGCGGCGUGCCUAAUACAUGCAAGUCGAGCGAACAGAUGAGGAGCUUGCUCCUCGGACGUGAGCGGAGGGCGGGAGAGAAACACGUGGAUAACCUACCUAUAAGACUGGGAUAACUUCGGGACACCGGAGCUAAUACGGGAGAAUAUAUUGAAGCGUGUGGUUCAUUAGUGAGAGACGGUUUUGGUGUAACUUAUAGAGGGUUCCGCGCCGCAUUAGCUAGUUGGUACGGUCACGGCUUACCACGGCAACGAUGCGUAGCCGAACUGAGAGGGUGAUCGGCCACACUGGAACGGGGCCACGGUCCAGAGUCCUGCGGGAGGCAGCAGUAGGGAAUCUUCCGCAAUGGGCGAAAGCUUGACAGAGCAGCGCGGCGUGAGUGAUGGAGGUGUUCGGAGCGGAAUGAUCGGUUACUAGGGGAAAACAAAUGUGUCAGUAGACAUGCCCGUAUUGACGGUAACUGGUCAGGAAGCCCCGGCUAACUACGUG
rnacentral:rRNA from 1 species